rnacentral:tRNA from 1 species
GGGAUUGUGGCUCAGUGGUAGAGCGCUCACCUAGCACGAGUGUGACCCGGGUUCGAUUCUCAGCACCA